rnacentral:tRNA from 1 species
CGGGACGUGCCGCAGCUCGGUAGCGCACUCGGCUGGGGACCGAGGAGCCGCAGGUUCGAACCCGGUCGUCCGG